rnacentral:lncRNA from 1 species
AUGUCUCGGGAGUUUUCCUUCGGGCCCCUGAUGUUUUUUCUUUCUGCUGCAUCCCAGCCUGCAAGGCGUGUCCUUCCCAAACAUCCUGUGGGUCCUUCCCUGUGCCUCGCAGAAGCCCUUUCUCUCUCAGGUUCCUCUGCCGGGUCCACCCCUCGCCCCGGGAUUUUUUUUUUUCCUUGCCACUUACUUUAUGUCAGGCAUCCCAGAUGUACAGACUGCUUUUGGUGUAAAUCCCCCCAACUUUUUCUACAGUGCGCCGGCCACCAGGGAGGGGGACAGAAGAGGCUUGGUGUAACGUCAGAGUGGUUUGUCCCCCCCCCCCCCCACCCUCGUGAGAGAGUCUGGCCACCUCCCAGGCGGCGAGUCUCUUUCUCUUGCUCUGCUGCAGAACCAGCGGGAGGUGGAGGUUUCGCUCAUGCACGACCUGCCCCAGCCCGGCCCCUCGGGUCUCCCAGCCCACGUCCUGCUGCAGCUGGCCACCGAGAGGCAGGGGCCCCACUACAGAGGCACCCUGAGGGUCGGAGUGGACGGCAGACAGGUGUCCGAGGAGCUGACGUUCACUCGGCAGCCGGAGCGCAUCUCCCUGGAGUACACCCUCCAGCACGACGUCCCCAUGCUGCGGACGCUGCGGGUAGAGGACACGCUGGGCCUGCGGGUAAGCCUCGGUGCUCGUGGAAACCCACAGCCAUGUGCCCUCCUUCAUGCAGCAAAUGUCCUUGGACAUGUGGUGGAGGGCAGGGGCGUGGAAUAGACUCAGACUUCCCUCCGAGUCUCGGUCUUCUCAUCUGGGAAGUGGGGAUAGCCCCCUCUGCCCUAGCCCAGCCGCAGCCCCGGGACCAUUACACGUUCUCGUUUUCCAAAGCCUCCCUGGGACCCAGCGCUUGUCCUUGACCCCCUUGUCACCCGUGUCUGCUUGCACUGCCUGGGGGGGGGGGGGUGGGGGCUGGCCCGGUGUCUCACGUGAGCACUGUGUCUGAGUCUCUCCCUCCUCUGGAUCCACAUGUGUGUGUAGCUCCACUUGGCGGCCGGGCGGGCACCACCCGCCCCUCCCGUUUGCCCCUCUCGGCCAGCGGCCCCUUGUCCCUCCGGCGACGGUCAGACCUUUGGCGUCAUCCUUCAUCCCGUGCCACUCACACACCAGACGCACCUCUCGCAGGAACUGCUGGCGUAUCCCCCCCAGUAUACCCGGAGCCGACCCCUUCUCCCCACCUCCAGCUUUGUCACCUGCUCCAGGCCCCCUCAGGCCACACCUGGGUUCUAGCCACCGAGCUGGGCUCCCUGCUCCCACCGUGGCCCCCGUGGUCUCCACCUAGAGCCCUUCUAAGUCAGACACCAGCCCGGCGCCAGAAAGUUUCGUGCCAGGAUCUGGCCUGUCCCCUCUCUGGGCUCACCCGCUAUGGCUGCCCUCGCGGACUUUAUUCGGGCCACGCUGUCCACGCCCUGUACUCAAACUGGCAGGUCCUCCUUCCCUUCCGUGCCCCCUGCCCGCCUCUGGCUUCCCCGGGUCUUUGCGCACAUGUCCUUUCUCCAGCCUUCCCUGCACAGACCUGCCCUGGUCGAUGUCACCCCCACCCUUACUGCGUAGACCCGCCCUGGUCGGCGUCACCUCCCCGUGUAGACCACGCGGGUCCACAUCACCCCCCUUUCCCUCCCCGCGUAGACCUGCCCUGAUCGAUGUCAAACCCCCCCCGCCGGGUGUAGACCCACAUGGGUUGACGUCACCCCCCCCACCCUCCCU